AGAGUUGAUCAUGGCUCAGGAUGAACGCUAGCGAUAGGCUAACACAUGCAAGUCGAGGGGCAGCACGGUGUAGCAAUACACUGGUGGCGACCGGCGUACGGGUGCGUAACACGUAUGCAACCUACCCGCUAUUGGGGGAUAACCCGGCGAAAGUCGGACUAAUACCCCAUAUUAUUCUUACCGGGCAUCCGGUAGGUCUGAAAGAUUUAUCGAUUGCGGAUGGGCAUGCGGAUGAUUAGCUAGUAGGUGGGGUAACGGCUCACCUAGGCGACGAUCAUUAGGGGUUCUGAGAGGAAGGUCCCCCACACUGGAACUGAGACACGGUCCAGACUCCUACGGGAGGCAGCAGUGAGGAAUAUUGGUCAAUGGGCGCUAGCCUGAACCAGCCAAGUCGCGUGAAGGAUGACAGAUCUAUGGUUUGUAAACUUCUUUUGCAGGGGAGUAAAGUGCGACACGUGUGUUGUAUUGCAAGUACCCUGCGAAUAAGCAUCGGCUAACUCCGUGCCAGCCGCCGC
rnacentral:rRNA from 1 species